rnacentral:rRNA from 1 species
GACGAACGCUGGCGGCGUGCUUAACACAUGCAAGUCGAACGGAAAGGCCCUGCUUUUGUGGGGUGCUCGAGUGGCGAACGGGUGAGUAACACGUGUGUAACCUGCCCUUGACUUUGGGAUAACUUCAGGAAACUGGGGCUAAUACCGGAUAGGAGCUCCUGCUGCAUGGUGGGGGUUGGAAAGUUUCGGCGGUUGGGGAUGGACUCGCGGCUUAUCAGCUUGUUGGUGGGGUAGUGGCUUACCAAGGCUUUGACGGGUAGCCGGCCUGAGAGGGUGACCGGCCACAUUGGGACUGAGAUACGGCCCAGACUCCUACGGGAGGCAGCAGUGGGGAAUAUUGCACAAUGGGCGGAAGCCUGAUGCAGCAACGCCGCGUGCGGGAUGCCGGCCUUCGGGUUGUAAACCGCUUUCGCCUGUGACGAAGCGUGAGUGACGGUAAUGGGUAAAGAAGCACCGGCUAACUACGUG